rnacentral:rRNA from 1 species
CCUACGGGAGGCUGCAGUGAGGAAUAUUGGUCAAUGGGCGCGAGUCUGAACCAGCCAAGUCGCGUGAGGGAUGAAGGUUCUAUGGAUUGUAAACUUCUUUUAUAAGGGAAUAAAGUGCGGGACGUGUCCUGUUUUGCAUGUACCUUAUGAAUAAGGAUCGGCUAACUCCGUGCCAGCAGCCGCGGUAAUACGGAGGAUCCGAGCGUUAUCCGGAUUUAUUGGGUUUAAAGGGAGCGUAGGCGGCUUGUUAAGUCAGGUGUGAAAGUUUGUGGCUCAACCGUAAAAUUGCAGUUGAUACUGGGAGCCUUGAGUAUGUUUGAGGCAGGCGGAAUGCGUGGUGUAGCGGUGAAAUGCUUAGAUAUCACGAAGAACCCCGAUUGCGAAGGCAGCCUGCCAAGCCAUAACUGACGCUGAUGCACGAAAGCGUGGGGAUCAAACAGGAUUAGAUACCCUAGUAGUC